rnacentral:rRNA from 1 species
CAGCCGCCGCGGUAAUACGAAGGUCCCGAGCGUUGUUCGGAAUCACUGGGCGUAAAGGGAGCGUAGGCGACGUGGUAGGUCAGAUGUGAAAUCCCGGGGCUCAACCCCGGAACUGCAUCCGAUACUGCCAUGCUAGAGGAUUGGAGAGGUAGCUGGAAUUCUUGGUGUAGCAGUGAAAUGCGUGGAGAUCAAGAGGAACACUCGUGGCGAAAGCGAGCUACUGGACAAUAACUGACGCUGAGGCUCGAAGGCCAGGGUAGCGAAAGGGAUUAGAGACCCCAGUAGUCCCUGUCUCUUAUAC